GACGAACGCUGGCGGCGUGCUUAACACAUGCAAGUCGAGCGGUAAGGCCCUUUCGGGGUACGACGAGCGGCGAACGGGUGAGUAACACGUGGGUGACCUGCCCUCAGCUCUGGGAGUAAGCCCGGGAAACUGGGUCUAAUACCGGAUAUGACUCCAUGACGCAUGUUGUGGGGUGGAAAGCCUUGUGCGGCUGAGGAUGGGCCCGCGGCCUAUCAGCUUGUUGGUGGGGUGAUGGCCACCAAGGCGACGACGGGUAGCCGGCCUGAGAGGGCGACCGGCCACACUGGGACUGAGACACGGCCCAGACUCCUACGGGAGGCAGCAGUGGGGAAUCUUGCGCAAUGGGCGAAAGCCUGACGCAGCGACGCCGCGUGAGGGAUGACGGCCUG
rnacentral:rRNA from 1 species